rnacentral:lncRNA from 12 species
AUGGCAAAAGCCAAAGCCGGGUGGGGGACCCCAGCAGGGGACAGGGCCAUGGGCCAGCUGGCUGAGCCAGGGGGCCAGGUGGGGCACUCAAGGCUAUCUUCCCAAACCUCCUCCAUCAGACCGCCGCUUCUGUCUGCGAAGUCAGGUAGCAGGACACUUCUGCAGAAGGCGACCCAGACACUGCCCCUCCAUCUGUGUGUCCCCCUUGGAAGUGCCACCAGCCAGUCCCACCCGAGGCAUCACACGUGUCCCUCCAUGGGGAUGGGGAGAGCACGGCCAGGCUGCCCCAGCUCCCAGGUCCUCAGAUCCCCCAGGGCCCCCGCCCACCCGCCCAUCUCCAGGGGCUGGCCAGGGUGCAGUGCGCAUUCCCACAUGGGGCCCCUUGACUCUUGGCCACCUACAGGCAGGGGCUCCCAGAAACCCUUCUGGAGUGCAGGGUGUGCGCACAGGCCCACAUCCCUGCUGCGCGGUGGAGACCUGCCAUGGUGGAGACCUGCCGUGAGACCCAUGCUUCCAACAGAGCCGCUGAGCUUCCUGCUGGGCCUGGCCCCAGGGCUGCACACCUGCCCCAGCAGCGCUCCACAAGCUCACUCCGCAGGGCUCCCGCCAGCCCCCGGCCCGUCCUUGGCGCAGGUGCUAUUCCUCACCCACCGUUCCCAAGAACUUGCCCUCCCCAGGCGGCCCUGCAGCUGCGGAGGAGCAGCCCUGGCCCCAGCCCCAGGGCAAACCCUCUUCCUCACGAGGCCCCGUCCCACCCACCUGCCUGCCUGGGUUCCUACUGCCAAGGAGACUGGCUCCAAGUGGGCACACGGCAGCAGGCUGGGGCCUCCACCACCCACGUGCCCCAGUAACGGGGGGACGUGGCUCCGAGUCGGGUCUUCCCUUCACCUGCUGGCGGCCACGUGGCCCCGGCCCCGAGACCCUGCUCUGUCCCGAGACCCUGCUCUGUCCCGUAGGAGGGAGCUGCUUCCAGUGCGGCGCACCCCCUGCAACCGCUGCCGCCAGAGCCAGGGGCACCCCCACCUCUCAUGGCCCGGAGCUCCAGCGGGCACAGGGCGGGGGAGGGCGGGCCUCGGGGCCCAAGCGCGUGGCCCAGCCAGAACUGGAGGGAAGGCCCGCGGGGCGCUGCGGUCAAGGGGGGCACGCCCACUGCACAGCGGCCACCUGCGAGGCCUGGGUCAGGCCGGCGGGAGGGACAGGCUCGCGGGCCGCGGGGGCGUCAGGCCCACACGAGCAGGCCGGGCGCCCGGCGCUCCCCACAAACAGCCCGAAACCUGA